UACGUAGGGGGGCAAGCGUUUGUCCGGAAUCAUUGGGCGUAAAAGCGCGUGUAGGCGGCUCGGUAAGUCCACUCUGAAAGUCCAGGGCUCAACCCCUGGGAUGCGGGUGGAUACUGUCGGGGCUUAGAGUCCCGGAAGAGGGCGAGUGGGAAAUUCCCUGGGUGUAGCGGGUGAAAAUUGCGCAGGAUAUCAAGGAGGGAA
rnacentral:rRNA from 1 species